rnacentral:rRNA from 1 species
CCUACGGGAGGCAGCAGUGGGGAAUAUUGGACAAUGGGGGCAACCCUGAUCCAGCGAUGCCGCGUGAGUGAAGAAGGCCCUCGGGUCGUAAAGCUCUUUAGGCUGGGAAGAAGUGUGCAGUAGGAAAUGAUUGUACAUUGACGGUACCAGCAGAAUAAGCACCGGCAAACUCUGUGCCAGCAGCCGCGGUAAU